rnacentral:rRNA from 1 species
GACGAACGCUGGCGGCGUGCUUAACACAUGCAAGUCGAACGGAAAGGCCCUGCUUUUGUGGGGUGCUCGAGUGGCGAACGGGUGAGUAACACGUGAGUAACCUGCCCUUGACUUUGGGAUAACUUCAGGAAACUGGGGCUAAUACCGGAUAGGAGCUCCUGCUGCAUGGUGGGGGUUGGAAAGUUUCGGCGGUUGGGGAUGGACUCGCGGCUUAUCAGCUUGUUGGUGGGGUAGUGGCUUACCAAGGCUUUGACGGGUAGCCGGCCUGAGAGGGUGACCGGCCACAUUGGGACUGAGGUACGGCCCAGACUCCUACGGGAGGCAGCAGUGGGGAAUAUUGCACAAUGGGCGGAAGCCUGAUGCAGCAACGCCGCGUGCGGAAUGACGGCCUUCGGGUUGUAAACCGAUUUCGCCUGUGACGAAGCGUGAGUGACGGUAAUGGGUAAAGAAGCACCGGCUAACUACGUG